GACUGUCCUACUAGUGGGACAACUUAGGGUGCUGGUUAAGCAGCACAUUCUGCUCCCUCUCAAGUUUAGCCAGUUUCACAGUAUGGUGGUAGAGGUCAGGGUUCUGGUGGUCAUGGUCAGGGUGGUAGAGGUUCCGGUGGUAGAGGAUUUGCUCAGAUUCAGGGAUAGACAUCUAGUGGUAGAGGUUAAGCCAUGGUUUUUGCUUUGACUUAGCAGGAUGCUCAGGCAUCUAAUGUAGUAGUGACAGGUACACUUUCUAUUUGCUUAUUUAAUGCUAGAGUACUGUUUGA
rnacentral:misc_RNA from 1 species